rnacentral:rRNA from 1 species
GAUGAACGCUAGCUACAGGCUUAACACAUGCAAGUUCGAGGGGAAACGAUAUUGGAAGCUUGCUUCUGAUAGGCGUCGACCGGCGCACGGGUGAGUAACGCGUAUCCAACCUGCCCAUCACUUGGGGAUAACCUUGCGAAAGUAAGACUAAUACCCAAUGACGUCUCUAGAAGACAUCUGAAAGAGAUUAAAGAUUUAUCGGUGAUGGAUGGGGAUGCGUCUGAUUAGCCUGUUGGCGGGGUAACGGCCCACCAAGGCGACGAUCAGUAGGGGUUCCUGAGAGGAAGGUCCCCCCACAUUGGAACUGAGACACGGUCCAAACUCCUACGGGAGGCAGCAGUGAGGAAUAUUGGUCAAUGGGGAAACCCUGAUGCAGCGACGCCGCGUGAGUGAAGAAGUAUUUCGGUAUGUAAAGCUCUAUCAGCAGGGAAGAAAGUGACGGUACCUGGAGAAAAGCAACGGCUAACUACGUG